rnacentral:lncRNA from 1 species
CGGAGUUUAUAAGUACCCAAUCAAAGUACUUUCGCUAACAACAACCUCGACUAGACAUCGUCUCUCACGAGCCUAUUCUUAUAGUCCAACCAGCCUAAGGUUUGCUAGGUCUACUAAGACUCAACCCUAGGCUCUGAUACGACUAUAAUCUGUCACGCCCGGGUACCAGCGGAAGCAUAUCCGGUACGUGCACAGACCCGCCAUACACCUGCAGUAUAUAAGGC